CAGCGACCUGGGGAAUCACGUGAUCUGUGAAGUAGUCACCUGAUCAUGUGAUUGCCCUCACUGCAGGAUUGCUUUCAUUAGAACGAAUACAUUGUAAUCCUAGUAAUAUCACCACGUGUACUGACUACAGGGGCUUGGGAUUAAUGGCAAUAGCCAAACAAUGUAAAACAACCACAGAUUGCUAUAGUGUCAACUCUUAACAUGGACACUUGUUUUACAAUCUAGGGUCGUAGAGUGACU